rnacentral:rRNA from 1 species
GUAGGUGGCAAGCGUUGUCCGGAAUUAUUGGGCGUAAAGCGCGCGCAGGCGGUUUUUUAAGUCUGAUGUGAAAGCCCACGGCUCAACCGUGGAGGGUCAUUGGAAACUGGAGAACUUGAGUGCAGAAGAGGAGAGUGGAAUUCCACGUGUAGCGGUGAAAUGCGUAGAGAUGUGGAGGAACACCAGUGGCGAAGGCGACUCUCUGGUCUGUAACUGACGCUGAGGCGCGAAAGCGUGGGGGGAGCAAACAGGAUUAGAUACCCUGGUAGUCCACGCCGUAAACCGAUGAGUGCUAAGUGUUAGAGGGUUUCCCGCCUUUAGUGCUGCAGCAAACGCAUUAAGCACCUCCGCCUGGGGAGUACGGUCGCAAGACUG